rnacentral:lncRNA from 10 species
AACAUGGUUGUCCAUGCUUCAGUCAUGCCUGUCCAAGAAGUCUUCAUAAAAGGCCCAAGAGGACAGGGUUCAGGGAGUUUUGGAGACCUGAACACAUGGAGGCUGACAGGAAGGCUGGAGCGCAAUGGUGCGAUCUUGGCUCACCGCAAUCUCUGCCUCCCGGGUUCAAGCAAUUCUCCUGCCUCAGCCUCCGAGUAGCUGGGAUUACAGGUUGCUGGCAGAGGUGGUUGGGGCUAUGUGCCUGGAGUGAAGAUUCUGCCCAUUGGUCAAGAGACCUCCCUCUCAGAUGCUGGCUCUGCCCCUGCCUUUGGGGGUCGACCCUUGUACU